AUUUAUAUAAUAUAAAAAGUAUAGAUGACUUCCAAUUAUCAUGUCUAAUAUUAAUUAGUAUAAAUA
rnacentral:tRNA from 1 species